rnacentral:rRNA from 1 species
UACAGAGGGUGCGAGCGUUAAUCGGAAUUACUGGGCGUAAAGCGUGCGUAGACGGUUUCGUAAGUCGGGUGUGAAAUCCCCGGGCUCAACCUGGGAAUUGCAUUCGAAACUGCGAGGCUAGGGUACGGAAGAGGGAAGCGGAAUUUCUGGUGUAGCGGUGAAAUGCGUAGAUAUCAGGAGGAACACCGGCGGUGUAGACGGCUAUCUGGACAGUAACUGACGCUGAGACACGAAAGCGUGGGGAGCAAACAGG